rnacentral:tRNA from 1 species
AGUCUUAUAUUCAAUAAUGAUAUAAAAUUGCAAAUUUUAAGGAGUAAAAAUUUUACUAAGGCUU